CAGCCGUAAACGAUGUGCGUUAGGUGUAUCGACGACCACGAGUCGUCGAGGUGCCGAAGGGAAACCGUGAAACGUACCGCCUGGGAAGUACGGUCGCAAGGCUGAAACUUAAAGGAAUUGGCGGGGGAGCACCACAACAGGUGGAGCCUGCGGUUUAAUUGGACUCAACGCCGGAAAGCUCACCGGAUAGGACAGCAGAAUGAUUGCCGGGCUGAAGACCCUGCAUGACUAGCUGAGAGGAGGUGCAUGGCGUAGUCGUGU
rnacentral:rRNA from 1 species